rnacentral:rRNA from 1 species
UUGCUGCUUCGCUGACGAGUGGCGGACGGGUGAGUAAUGUCUGGGAAACUGCCUGAUGGAGGGGGAUAACUACUGGAAACGGUGGCUAAUACCGCAUAACGUCUCAAGACCAAAGAGGGGGACCUUCGGGCCUCUUGCCAUCACAUGUGCCCAGAUGGGAUUAGCUUGUUGGUGAGGUAACGGCUCACCAAGGCGACGAUCCCUAGCUGGUCUGAGAGGAUGACCAGCCACACUGGAACUGAAACACGGUCCAGACUCCUACGGGAGGCACCAGUGGGGAAUAUUGCACAAUGGGCGCAAGCCUGAUGCAGCCAUGCCGCGUGUAUGAAGAAGGCCUUCGGGUUGUAAAGUACUUUCAGCGGGGAGGAAGGUGUUGUGGUUAAUAACCGCUGUCUUGACGUUACCCGCAGAAGAAGCACCGGCUAACUCCGUGCCAGGACCGCGGUAAUAC